ACAGUGUGAUGACUCACCAGCCUUACUUCCUGCUGUGGAGUGCUUUCUCCUGCUCAGCAAGGCUCAGUGCUGAAUUUCCUGUGACAUUUGCAUAAUUCUGAGUCUCUUCUGGACUGUGAAGGAGACCUUCUAGAAAGUUGUGUCUGCUGAGACUGAUUGACUGAUUAGAAUUUCAGUGCUAUGGAGAGAUUUGAAUGUUACAGGUCCAGAGGCUAAUUACCUUAUCUUCGGUUAACUUUACCUGCACACCUCAACAGCUAUUCCUUGUGUGCCUCUGUGUCAGAACCAGCAUCCUGUGACUAAUAGAUAAAAGCCUUUGGAAACUAUUAAUUUAACAGACCUUCUACCAAGCCCAAAGAUAACAGUGUUAACAGAUAACAUCUUUGGUCUAUAAAAUAAGUUUCCUCAACCUUGCUGUAACCACCUCUCAGAUAUGCCCACCAAUGUAUUUUAAGCCUGUCCUGAUUUAUGACUUUCAACUUUCUGUAAAACUAUAAAACUUCAUGUAACUGCUUCUAGUUCAAACAUGGACUUUGAGGUAUCUUAAUCUGUGUUUCUGGUCAUUCAGAAUGGAUCCAGAAUGAACUAGCUUUUAUUCUUCUUAAGAAGGAAAAUUGUUUUUUGAGUUGACACAAUCAAAGCCAAAUUUUUAAAUAAAUUAAAAAUUAUUUUUAAAUGUAAGAAUUGAUUAUUGAUAUUAGCUCCCCUAGUUAAGCAAAAGCUAUUGACAUAGUAUGUUAACAAGUAUGCAUGUCUGUCCUCUGACUUGUGAAGGAAUUCAAAUAUGUUUUGGUGAAGUUUAGUAAUAGUGGGGGACUAUGGCUAUCAUAGUAUGGGGCCUCCUCAAUAACAAGACAGAAACUAAGAAACUUCUAUCUCUUUAAAAUAGAAUGGACCAUUUUGCCUCCAGAGGAUGUAAAUUGAACAUGUCUUUGUGUUUUCACUUAGAAUUUUAUUUCUGUUCUCACACCCCACCCUCCUUUACAUGAAUAUUAAGGUCCAAGGCUUUAGCAACAGGCAUUUGGUCCUGGGGGAAGAAAGGGUAAAGGGAAGAGUGUUGUGUAUGGCUUUUCAUAUGUUAAUGGUUGAUUCCAUGGCAACCAUUGAAAAAAAGAAGGGCUAGGGACAAAAGGGGCUGCAGGAGAGAGGAUGGGGCUCUUUCAGGGGCUAGUAAGAAUAACAGCCCAGACCCUCUCCUCUGAAAGAUAUCUGAUGGCCAGACCUCAAAGGACUUUGUCUUAAUAGUGCAGAGUCAGUAUGUAAUUAAUGCAGAGUUUUAUGAGUCCAAAUUUCACCCUCAAUGAUGUUUCCCCUUUAAAACGUGGAGAAUAAGAAUCUGAAACCAAGAGGAUGUUUCAAAUCACUGCUCCCAUUGGGACCCACAACGGAGUCUAUCCAGAGGACACACUAGACUAUCGGCUCUAAGCAUCAGACAUUUCAGUUUUGAGUUAAAAGGUCAAGGGCUUUUAUCUUUGAGUACAAGAAAGCUUUUAAAGCUGGCUGACUAAGAGCAAGCACAGUGGGAAUGGCUGUGCUCUCUCUCACAUGCAUCCUUUGAACACUGUCGUCCCUGAUGACAUGUUGAAAUGGUACAGGACACAGACAAGAGCAGGUCACAGGACACAGAGGACACUGGUGACAUUCCAUUCCUUGGCUUCCUUGACCAAUGAAAAGAAUUCCUGGCUGCCUAUAUAUCCUCCCAGAAACAUGGUGACAUCCUCACAUCAGAUUCCCUAGUGCGCUAAAUCUUCAUGUGAACUUCAGUGGUUAUACAUAUGAAAUAGCUGUUGUAUCUUGCCAGCACAACACACUCUUUCUAGCCCUUUCUCAAGUACUGCAAAGCAUUACAUUCAGUAACAAUGCCAACUUUACCAACUUUCUAUCCAGCCUUGUUUUCUUGCAUGUGUAUUCCUCAGUCUUUGAUUGAAUUAUAUUGAAUUCCUCUCUCUCUCUCUCUCUUUUUGUCUCCUUUAAAUAGUUGCCAGAGACCAGCCACCAGUAGCUGCGAUACAGUGUUUUCUCUGUUUCGAUAGACACAAGGGCUUUUUAUCACAAUGGAAUGCUUAUGGAAUUGCAUGUUUCAAAAGACACUAAACAUGAAAAUACAACUUCAUUCAAAGUCAGGUUACAAUUAUGAAUAGCAAGGCUACAAUGAAGAGAGAGAGAAAGAAGUGCUGGUCUGUCUUUCUUUCAGUGGUUAUAAAAUGUAAUUCAUUUUUUUCCCUCAUAAGCCUUAUGAACCUUACUCCCGCUUUUAUGUUAUUCAAAACUCUGAUGGGGUGGAAAGCACAGAGUUAUUGUAGCUACCAGGAAUCCCAAUAUGAGGUCUGACAAUAUUGUUACCAACAUUAUAUUAUAAAGAGACAGUUUCUUCAAAAUGAUCUUAUUUUUGAAUGCCUGUUUGCUUGAUGUUUGCUGAGUAAUAUGUGACAUCUGAUAUUUUGGCAACAACACUGAAUAAUUAAUCUAUUCAUCAAAAUUUUUAAAAGUGUUUUUAUAGACUAGGACUUGGUCAUAUUUGAUCAGUACAUGCUAUGACUGGUUGUCAUGGAAAUGUAGCCUAGUAUAUAUGGAUAAUUGUGUAAAUAAAGAAUCAUCCC
ensembl:lincRNA Gm26535 predicted gene, 26535